rnacentral:rRNA from 1 species
GACGAACGCUGGCGGCGUGCUUAACACAUGCAAGUCGAACGGAAAGGCCUCUUUCGGGGGUUACUCGAGUGGCGAACGGGUGAGUAACACGUGAGUAACCUGCCCUUGACUUUGGGAUAACUUCAGGAAACUGGGGCUAAUACCGGAUAGGAUCUCCUGCUGCAUGGUGGGGGUUGGAAAUUUUCGGCGGUUGGGGAUGGACUCGCGGCUUAUCAGCUUGUUGGUGGGGUAGUGGCUUACCAAGGCUUUGACGGGUAGCCGGCCUGAGAGGGUGACCGGCCACAUUGGGACUGAGAGACGGCCCAGACUCCUACGGGAGGCAGAAGUGGGGAAUAUUGCACAAUGGGUGGAAGCCUGAUGCAGCAACGCCGUGUGCGGGAUGACGGCCUUCGGGUUGUAAACCGCUUUCGCUCAUGACGAAGCUUUGUGUGACGGUAGUGGGUAAAGAAGCACCGGCUAACUACGUG